AGAGGUUUAGUAUAAUGGUAGUACUGCAGAUUCCAAACCUGCUUGUAGGGGUUCGAUUCCUCUAACCUCUGCCA
rnacentral:tRNA from 1 species